rnacentral:rRNA from 1 species
GACGAACGCUGGCGGCGUGCUUAACACAUGCAAGUCGAACGGAAAGGCCCUGCUUUUGUGGGGUGCUCGAGUGGCGAACGGGUGAGUAACACGUGAGUAACCUGCCCUUGACUUUGGGAUAACUUCAGGAAACUGGGGCUAAUCCCGGAUAGGAGCUCCUGCUGCAUGGUGGGGGUUGGAACGUUUCGGCGGUUGGGGAUGGACGCGCGGCUUAUCAGCUUGUUGGUGGGGUAGUGGCUUACCAAGGCUUUGACGGGUAGCCGGCCUGAGAGGGUGACCGGCCACAUUGGGACUGAGAUACGGCCCAGACUCCUACGGGAGGCAGCAGUGGGGAAUAUUGCACAAUGGGCGGAAGCCUGAUGCAGCAACGCCGCGUGCGGGAUGACGGCCUUCGGGUUGUAAACCGCUUUCGCCUGUGACGAAGCGUGAGUGACGGUAAUGGGUAAAGAAGCACCGGCUAACUACGUG